CCUACGGGAGGCAGCAGUAGGGAAUAUUGCUCAAUGGGGGAAACUCUGAAGCAGCAACGCCGCGUGGAGGAUGAAGGUUUUCGGAUUGUAAACUCCUUUUGUUAGAGAAGAUAAUGACGGUAUCUAACGAAUAAGCACCGGCUAACUCCGUGCCAGCAGCCGCGGUAAUACGGAGGGUGCAAGCGUUACUCGGAAUCACUGGGCGUAAAGAGCGCGUAGGCGGGAUAGCAAGUCAGAUGUGAAAUCCUAUGGCUUAACCAUAGAACUGCAUUUGAAACUGUUAUUCUAGAGUAUGGGAGAGGUAGGUGGAAUUCUUGGUGUAGGGGUAGAAUGCGUAGAGAUCAAGAGGAAUACUCAUUGCGAAGGCGACCUGCUAGAACAUAACUGACGCUGAUGCGCGAAAGCGUGGGGAGCAAACAGGAUUAGAUACCCCAGUAGUC
rnacentral:rRNA from 1 species